GACGAACGCUGGCGGCGUGCCUAAUACAUGCAAGUUGAGCGCUGAAGGUUGGUACUUGUACCAACUGGAUGAGCAGCGAACGGGUGAGUAACGCGUGUGGAAUCUGCCUUUGAGCGGGGGACAACAUUUGGAAACGAAUGCUAAUACCGCAUAAAAACUUUAAACACAAGUUUUAAGUUUGAAAGAUGCAAUUGCAUCACUCAAAGAUGAUCCCGCGUUGUAUUAGCUAGUUGGUGAGGUAAAGGCUCACCAAGGCGAUGAUACAUAGCCGACCUGAGAGGGUGAUCGGCCAAAAUGGGACUGAGACACGGCCCAAACUCCUACGGGAGGCAGCAGUAGGGAAACUUCGGAAAUGGACGAAAGUCUGAACGAGCAAAGCCGCGUGAGUGAAGAAGGUUUUCGGAUCGUAAAACUCUGUUGGUAGAGAAGAACGUUGGUGAGAGUGGAAAGCUCAUCAAGUGACGGUAACUACACAGAAAGGGACGGCUAACUACGUG
rnacentral:rRNA from 1 species